UACGGAGGGGGCUAGCGUUGUUCGGAACUACUGGGCGUAAAGCGCACGUAGGCGGCGCAGCAAGUCAGGGGUGAAAUCCCGGAGCUCAACUCCGGAACUGCCUUUGAAACUGCAGUGCUAGAAUCUUGGAGAGGCGAGUGGAAUUCCGAGUGUAGAGGUGAAAUUCGUAGAUAUUCGGAAGAACACCAGUGGCGAAGGCGACUCGCUGGACAAGUAUUGACGCUGAGGUGCGAAAGCGUGGGGAGCAAACAGG
rnacentral:rRNA from 1 species